ensembl:lncRNA
AGUGAGACUAGCUGUCUUCAUCCUCCUGGUCCUCAUGCUCAUCCUCUGGGAAGUGAGCUUGCUUCUUUGGACCAUUCUGUGCAGACACUGGGUCAGGUUCUCAAUACAGUCCGUCACGGGGUGCAAACAUAGAAAGAGGACAGCUGGUAUCAGGAGGUUGUGAUGCUGAUGCUGUCUCCAUGGCACAUUUCCUGUCCCUUCUGUCCAUCAAAAGACAGCCGUGCAGUGUGACAGCAUAGUCUUCAGCUAGACCACUGCGGGGAUCUCCAUCUGACAGAAUGAGAGCCAGGGGCAGAUGGAUG